rnacentral:rRNA from 1 species
ACCCGGAGAACUGAAACAUCUUAGUACCCGGAGGAAGAGAAAGAAAAUUCGAUUCCCUUAGUAGCGGCGAGCGAAACGGGAAGAGCCCAAACCAAAAAGCUUGCUUGUUGGGGUUGUAGGACACUCUGUACGGAGUUACAAAGGACGACAUUAGACGAAUCAUCUGGAAAGAUGAAUCAAAGAAGGUAAUAAUCCUGUAGUCGAAAAUGUUGUCUCUCUUGAGUGGAUCCUGAGUACGACGGAGCACGUGAAAUUCCGUCGGAAUCUGGGAGGACCAUCUCCUAAGGCUAAAUACUCUCUAGUGACCGAUAGUGAACCAGUACCGUGAGGGAAAGGUGAAAAGCACCCCGGAAGGGGAGUGAAAUAGAACCUGAAACCGUGUGCUUACAAGUAGUCAGAGCCCGUUAAUGGGUGAUGGCGUGCCUUUUGUAGAAUGAACCGGCGAGUUACGAUUUGAUGCAAGGUUAAGCAGUAAAUGUGGAGCCGUAGCGAAAGCGAGUCUGAAUAGGGCGUUUAGUAUUUGGUCGUAGACCCGAAACCAGGUGAUCUACCCUUGGUCAGGUUGAAGUUCAGGUAACACUGAAUGGAGGACCGAACCGACUUACGUUGAAAAGUGAGCGGAUGAACUGAGGGUAGCGGAGAAAUUCCAAUCGAACCUGGAGAUAGCUGGUUCUCUCCGAAAUAGCUUUAGGGCUAGCCUCAAGUGAUGAUUAUUGGAGGUAGAGCACUGUUUGGACGAGGGGCCCCUCUCGGGUUACCGAAUUCAGACAAACUCCGAAUGCCAAUUAAUUUAACUUGGGAGUCAGAACAUGGGUGAUAAGGUCCGUGUUCGAAAGGGAAACAGCCCAGACCACCAGCUAAGGUCCCAAAAUAUAUGUUAAGUGGAAAAGGAUGUGGCGUUGCCCAGACAACUAGGAUGUUGGCUUAGAAGCAGCCAUCAUUUAAAGAGUGCGUAAUAGCUCACUAGUCGAGUGACACUGCGCCGAAAAUGUACCGGGGCUAAACAUAUUACCGAAGCUGUGGAUUGUCCUUUGGACAAUGGUAGGAGAGCGUUCUAAGGGCGUUGAAGCAUGAUCGUAAGGACAUGUGGAGCGCUUAGAAGUGAGAAUGCCGGUGUGAGUAGCGAAAGACGGGUGAGAAUCCCGUCCACCGAUUGACUAAGGUUUCCAGAGGAAGGCUCGUCCGCUCUGGGUUAGUCGGGUCCUAAGCUGAGGCCGACAGGCGUAGGCGAUGGAUAACAGGUUGAUAUUCCUGUACCACCUAUAAUCGUUUUAAUCGAUGGGGGGACGCAGUAGGAUAGGCGAAGCGUGCGAUUGGAUUGCACGUCUAAGCAGUAAGGCUGAGUAUUAGGCAAAUCCGGUACUCGUUAAGGCUGAGCUGUGAUGGGGAGAAGACAUUGUGUCUUCGAGUCGUUGAUUUCACACUGCCGAGAAAAGCCUCUAGAUAGAAAAUAGGUGCCCGUACCGCAAACCGACACAGGUAGUCAAGAUGAGAAUUCUAAGGUGAGCGAGCGAACUCUCGUUAAGGAACUCGGCAAAAUGACCCCGUAACUUCGGGAGAAGGGGUGCUCUUUAGGGUUAACGCCCAGAAGAGCCGCAGUGAAUAGGCCCAAGCGACUGUUUAUCAAAAACACAGGUCUCUGCUAAACCGUAAGGUGAUGUAUAGGGGCUGACGCCUGCCCGGUGCUGGAAGGUUAAGAGGAGUGGUUAGCUUCUGCGAAGCUACGAAUCGAAGCCCCAGUAAACGGCGGCCGUAACUAUAACGGUCCUAAGGUAGCGAAAUUCCUUGUCGGGUAAGUUCCGACCCGCACGAAAGGCGUAACGAUUUGGGCACUGUCUCAACGAGAGACUCGGUGAAAUCAUAGUACCUGUGAAGAUGCAGGUUACCCGCGACAGGACGGAAAGACCCCGUGGAGCUUUACUGUAGCCUGAUAUUGAAAUUCGGCACAGCUUGUACAGGAUAGGUAGGAGCCUUUGAAACGUGAGCGCUAGCUUACGUGGAGGCGCUGGUGGGAUACUACCCUAGCUGUGUUGGCUUUCUAACCCGCACCACUUAUCGUGGUGGGAGACAGUGUCAGGCGGGCAGUUUGACUGGGGCGGUCGCCUCCUAAAAGGUAACGGAGGCGCUCAAAGGUUCCCUCAGAAUGGUUGGAAAUCAUUCAUAGAGUGUAAA